UUCUUAAAGAUAAAUAAUUUUAAGUAAAAUCUGCUCAAUGAAUUAUUAAAUAGCCGCAGAAAAUUUACUGUGCUAAGGUAGCAUAAUCAUUAGUCUUCUAAUUAAAGACUAGAAUGAAAGAUUUAACAUUUUAAAUUCUUUUUUAAAAAUUUUAAAUAAAAAUUAUACUAAACAUAAAAAUAUGUUUUUAUUAAAAAAAGACGACAAGACCCUGUCGAACUUAACUAAAGUUUAGCUGGGGCAGCUCACUAAUAAAAAUUUUAAUGAAAUUAAAUAAAAUAAAUAAGAUCCAAUAAAAAUUGAUUACUUAAACAAGUUACCGCAGGGAUAACAGCGUAAUUUUUUUUAAAAGCUCUUAUUUAAAAAAAAGAUUACGACCUCGAUGUUGAAUUAACUAUCUAUAAAACGCAAAUGUUUUACAAGUAAGUCUGUUCGACUUUUAAAAAGUUACA
rnacentral:rRNA from 1 species